rnacentral:misc_RNA from 1 species
GUUGGUGAACCAGCGGAGGGAUCAUUACCGAGUUUACAACUCCCAAACCCCUGUGAACAUACCUAUCGUUGCCUCGGCGGUGCCCGCUCCGGCGGCCCGCCAGAGGACCCCCAAACUCUUGUUUUAUACAGUAUCUUCUGAGUAACACGAUUAAAUAAAUCAAAACUUUCAACAACGGAUCUCUUGGUUCUG